rnacentral:rRNA from 1 species
UACGUAGGGUGCGAGCGUUGUCCGGAAUUAUUGGGCGUAAAGAGCUCGUAGGCGGUUUGUUGCGUCGGCUGUGAAAUCCCGAGGCUCAACCUCGGGUCUGCAGUCGAUACGAGCAAACUAGAGUGUUGCAGGGGAGACUGGAAUUCCUGGUGUAGCGGUGAAAUGCGCAGAUAUCAGGAGGAACACCAGCGGCGAAGGCGGCGCUCUGGGCCGGAACUGACGCUGAGGAGCGAAAGCGUGGGUAGCAAACAGG